GGCUUAGUAGCUUAGAGGCUUAAAGCGCUGCCCUGUCACGGCAGAGAUCGUGGGUUCGAAUCCCAUCUAAGUCG
rnacentral:tRNA from 1 species